rnacentral:rRNA from 1 species
CAGGGCAAUUGUCUUGUAAUUGGAAUGAUGGUGACGUAAAAUCUCACCAGAGUAACAAUUGGAGGGCAAGUCUGGUGCCAGCAGCCGCGGUAAUUCCAGCUCCAAUAGCGUAUAUUAAACUUGUUGCAGUUAAAAAGCUCGUAGUUGAAUUUCUGCGUUGCCCGACUCGGCUACUUGCCUUGUCUGGUUUCGCUUUUGGGGUUUUCCCCUUUUUACUUUGAGAAAAUUAGAGUGUUUCAAGCAGACUUGUGUCUUGAAUACUUCAGCAUGGAAUAAUAAAGUAGGACUUUGGUUCUAUUUUGUUGGUUUGUGAACCUUAGUAAUGGUUAAUAGGAACGGUUGGGGGCAUUCGUAUUUAACUGUCAGAGGUGAAAUUCUUAGAUUUGUUAAAGACGAACUACUGC